rnacentral:lncRNA from 13 species
UUAGGAUUUAAGGAGGCUCCUAUGAACUCCAGGUGGAGUGUGUUGAUUUAAUUUCUCACCUAAACUGUCUGCAUGGGAGGUGAGUGGAAGUAUAAUUGCCUCCAUUCUAGAACCCAAGGAGAAGACCAACAAUUCCCAGUUUCCAAGUGACCAGUUCCAGAUUCCAAUCGAAAGGUUCAGCUAUGGAUUUAAUUUUUUCCCUGAUGAUAGUAAUUUAGAGGAAGACACAGGUGACUUUGCUCUUCAUUCACCUUCUGCCAUGAUUGUGAAGCUGCCCCAGCCAUGUGAAACUAUAAUUCCAACAUUUCUGUCCUUUGAGUGAUGGUGUCUGUUGAUUUCUCAUGCAAGGUAAGAUCUUCCUGGUUCUUGCUAUGCUGAGUAAUCUCUGUGCGUACUGUUAUGAGACUCUGGU